rnacentral:rRNA from 1 species
AUGAACGCUGGCGGCGUGCCUAAUACAUGCAAGUCGAGCGAACAGACGAGGAGCUUGCUCCUCUGACGUUAGCGGCGGACGGGUGAGUAACACGUGGAUAACCUACCUAUAAGACUGGGAUAACUUCGGGAAACCGGAGCUAAUACCGGAUAAUAUAUUGAACCGCAUGGUUCAAUAGUGAAAGACGGUUUUGCUGUCACUUAUAGAUGGAUCCGCGCCGCAUUAGCUAGUUGGUAAGGUAACGGCUUACCAAGGCGACGAUGCGUAGCCGACCUGAGAGGGUGAUCGGCCACACUGGAACUGAGACACGGUCCAGACUCCUGCGGGAGGCAGCAGUAGGGAAUCUUCCGCAAUGGGCGAAAGCCUGACGGAGCAACGCCGCGUGAGUGAUGAAGGUCUUCGGAUCGUAAAACUCUGUUAUUAGGGAAGAACAAAUGUGUAAGUAACUAUGCACGUCUUGACGGUACCUAAUCAGAAAGCCACGGCUAACUACGUG